rnacentral:rRNA from 1 species
AAAUGAAUUGACGGGGGCCCGCACAAGCAGCGGAGCAUGUGGUUUAAUUCGACGCAACGCGAAGAACCUUACCAGGUCUUGACAUCCAGUAAAACUUGUAGAGAUACAUCGUGUCUUCGGACAUACUGAGACAGGUGGUGCAUGGUUGUCGUCAGCUCGUGUCGUGAGAUGUUGGGUUAAGUCCCGCAACGAGCGCAACCCUUACCUUUAGUUACUAACGUGUUAUGGCGAGGACUCUAGAGGGACUGCCGGGGACAACUCGGAGGAAGGUGGGGACGACGUCAAAUCAUCAUGCCCCUUAUGACCUGGGCUACACACGUGCUACAAUGGCCACCACAGAGAGAAGCGAGCCUGUAAGGGUAAGCGGAACUCAAAAAAGUGGUCCCAGUUCGGAUUGUGGGCUGCAACCCGCCCACAUGAAGUCGGAGUUGCUAGUAAUCGCGGAUCAGCAUGCCGCGGUGAAUACGUUCCCGGGCCUUGUACACACCGCCCGU